rnacentral:rRNA from 1 species
UACGAAGGGUGCAAGCGUUACUCGGAAUUACUGGGCGUAAAGCGUGCGUAGGUGGUGAGUUAAGUCUGUCGUGAAAGCCCCGGGCUCAACCUGGGAAUGGCGAUGGAUACUGGCUCGCUAGAGUGCGGCAGAGGGGGAUGGAAUUCCGCGUGUAGCAGUGAAAUGCGUAGAUAUGCGGAGGAACACCGAUGGCGAAGGCAAUCCCCUGGGCCUGCACUGACGCUCAUGCACGAAAGCGUGGGGAGCGAAACAAGGAU